rnacentral:rRNA from 1 species
AGUGAACGCUGGCGGUAGGCCUAACACAUGCAAGUCGAACGGCAGCACAGUAAGAGCUUGCUCUUACGGGUGGCGAGUGGCGGACGGGUGAGGAAUACAUCGGAAUCUACUUUUUCGUGGGGGAUAACGUAGAGAAACUUACGCUAAUACCGCAUACGACCUACGGGUGAAAGCAGGGGAUCUUCGGACCUUGCGCGAUUGAAUGAGCCGAUGUCGGAUUAGCUAGUUGGCGGGGUAAAGGCCCACCAAGGCGACGAUCCGUAGCUGGUCUGAGAGGAUGAUCAGCCACACUGGAACUGAGACACGGUCCAGACUCCUACGGGAGGCAGCAGUGGGGAAUAUUGGACAAUGGGCGCAAGCCUGAUCCAGCCAUACCGCGUGGGUGAAGAAGGCCUUCGGGCUGUAAAGCCCUUUUGUUGGGAAAGAAAAGCAGCAGGUUAAUACCCCGCUGUUCUGACGGUACCCAAAGAAUAAGCACCGGCUAACUUCGUG